rnacentral:rRNA from 1 species
AUGAAGAUGAGGGCAGCCAAGAGGCGUAGGUCUGAUGGGACCGCCGGACGCAGGGCACUGAAAAGGCCAUGCGAUCUCCCGAAGCUCACCCAGGGCGAUCUCAUCAGCAGCCUUCCUGAUGCCAUCCUUGAGGCCAUCAUCUCCCUCCUCCCCAUCAAGGACGGCGUUCGCACGCAGGCCGUCGCCCGGGGAUGGCGUCCGCUGUGGCGCUCCGCGCCUCUCGACCUCGACGCCACCGACAUCUGCUCCAACAAAUAUAAGCGCAUAUCUGUCAUUUCCGGCAUCCUCCGCAACCACCUUGGCCCUGCCCGUCGCUUCACGUUCGAAAACAUCUGCCUCCACAAAUCUAAAAAAGGGUAUGCCAAGGACGAUGCUGAGGUCGAACGCUGGUUCCACUCCCGGUGCCUCGACAACCUUGAGGAGCUUGAUAUCAGCUUCCGGCUGUUGGGUAAAGCAGGCGUGUCAAGGAACCGGUACCCGCUGCCAUCAUCCGUGCUCCGCUUGGCACCAACUCUCGUUGUAGCCGGAAUCGGCGUGUGCAGGUUCCCAAGUGAAAUUGCACGUUGUGUGAACUUUCCCCUGCUCCGGCAACUCACUCUGUGGAGUAUUAGCAUCUCGGAGGAAGCCUUACAUGUGCUGCUCUCUGCCUGCCAUGUUUUGGAGACCCUAUUUCUGGAGGAUAUUCGUGACGUCGAUUGCCUUCGUGUUAGCUCGCCAACUCUCAAGAUCAUCUGGUUCAGUGCUACUCACUUGGGGAGACAAGAAUUGGUUAUUGAGGACGUCCCUCACCUUGAAAGGCUACUUUGUCCAGCCUUGGAUGGUGAGACUAUUCGAGUACAUAAGGCGCCUAAAUUGAAGAUAUUGGGGCCUUUGUCACCCCACGUUUCCAAAAUCGAGAUUGCAAACCUAAUCUUGCAGGAAACGAUGCCACCCAGCAGCUUGAGCCAUUCGAUAUGCACUGUGAAUAUUUUGGCUCUCAAGUUUGCUGGCCCAGAUUUAAAUGCGGUUCUCAAUAUCCUCCGGUGCUUCCCCUGCUUGGAAAAGCUCUAUGUCAUUAUGCAUCAGUAUGAACCCCUAAAUCCAAUCAAAUGCCUUGAGAGCCAUCUCAAAGUACUGGUGUUGAAUAAUUACAUAGGCGACGAGGAAGAUAUUGGCUUUGCCAAGUUCUUUGUUUCGAAUGCGAAAGUCGUAAAAGAAAUCAAAUUUGGAGUGUCUAAUGAGAUUGGCAACGAUAGGAAAUGGAUGAGUAAUCAAAAGUCACGCUGCUAG